rnacentral:rRNA from 1 species
CGAAAGCCUGACGGAGCAAGACCGCGUGAGGGAGGAAGGCUCUUGGGUUGUAAACCUCUUUUCUCAGGGAAGAAGCUCUGACGGUACCUGAGGAAUCAGCCUCGGCUAACUCCGUGCCAGCAGCCGCGGUAAUACGGAGGAGGCAAGCGUUAUCCGGAAUGAUUGGGCGUAAAGCGUCCGCAGGUGGUUCUUCAAGUCUGCUGUUAAAGACAGUGGCUCAACUACUGAAAGGCAGUAGAUACUGAAGGACUAGAGGGCGGUAGGGGCAGAGGGAAUUCCCGGUGUAGCGGUGAAAUGCGUAGAUUUCGGGAAGAACAUCGGUGGCGAAAGCGCUUUGCUAGACCGAAACUGACACUCAGGGACGAAAGCUAGGGGAGCG